AGCAGCCGCCGCGGUAAUACGAAGGGUGCAAGCGUUAAUCGGAAUUACUGGGCGUAAAGCGUGCGUAGGCGGUUUGUUAAGUCUGUUGUGAAAUCCCCGGGCUCAACCUGGGAAUGGCAAUGGAUACUGGCAAGCUAGAGUGUGUCAGAGGAUGGUGGAAUUCCCGGUGUAGCGGUGAAAUGCGUAGAGAUCGGGAGGAACAUCAGUGGCGAAGGCGGCCAUCUGGGACAACACUGACGCUGAGGCACGAAAGCGUGGGGAGCAAACAGGAUUAGAUACCCCAGUAGUCCCUGUCUCUUAUAC
rnacentral:rRNA from 1 species